rnacentral:rRNA from 1 species
UACGAAGGGGGCUAGCGUUGCUCGGAAUCACUGGGCGUAAAGCGCACGUAGGCGGAUUGUUAAGUCAGGGGUGAAAUCCUGGAGCUCAACUCCAGAACUGCCUUUGAUACUGAAGAUCUUGAGUUCGGGAGAGGUGAGUGGAACUGCGAGUGUAGAGGUGAAAUUCGUAGAUAUUCGCAAGAACACCAGUGGCGAAGGCGGCUCACUGGCCCGAUACUGACGCUGAGGCACGAAAGCGUGGGGAGCCAACAGGG